rnacentral:misc_RNA from 1 species
AAUUUGGCUCAUGAUAUGAAUGAGGUUGGUUACACACAUGAUAUGAAAAUUUUGACUAUUUAUAUGAAUUGUACAUUUUUUUAAAAUAUUGUUACAUAAGAAGAGAGAGGGAAAGAGAUAGUGAUUAAUCCUUUGCUUUAAUAUGCUCAGGAAUUGGAUAGUGUUGACUUCGUGUAGCUCAAAAUGAGCAUCGAUUUUGAUGAUAACAAAACUCA